rnacentral:misc_RNA from 1 species
UCAAACUUGGUCAUUUAGAGGAAGUAAAAGUCGUAACAAGGUUUCCGUAGGUGAACCUGCGGAAGGAUCAUCAAUGAAUGUUUUUUAAUCAUUGAUUAUGGAAAGAUGAAAAAAAUAGCGAGUAAAUUCUCGAAUUUUUUCUCUUUCCUUUUAUUUUAAAAACACCGCACAUAUAAUAUUUUAAAAUAUGUGACGUCGUUAUCAAUGAAAUGGAACUGAUAAAAAUAGUUAAAUAUUUACAACUUUUAACGAUGGAUCUCUUGGCUCUCGCAUCGAUGAAGAACGCAGC